GGUGGCCGCUAGAGGGGGUGUGUUGGAAAGUAAAUGCCACACAGUAACCUCCUAAAUUGUCAAACACAGUAAUUGUUAAAGGGCUGGAGACUGAUCGCUCAGGAUUCGGCCGUGGAACGUUCCCGGGAGGGAAGCAUUGUGACGUCAGCGUACCUACUAAUCCUCCCAACUGAGGGGGAGCCUGGAGCCAUGAGGUCAUCGCAGCGGCCGGUGUAGCCAUCCCGGCGGCAGCAGCGGCAGGAGCAGCAGCGGGGGAGGGGAGAGCGGCGCGGAGCGGGCAGCGGGCCCGAGCGAGGCCGGCUGGGAGAUCGCAGCCGCGCUCCAGCUGCACCGAGGCGGGCGCCGAGCUCCGGCAAGCAUGGAGGAAGCUGAGGCGAAGGAGCUGCAGGUCGGCUCCUGGCUGCCGGUGCUGGUGGAGCAGAUGGUGAACGACACAUUGGUGGUCACCUUGAGCUGCGGGGAGAGGCGUUUCACUGGGAUCCUCCUAGACUGCACUAAAAAGUCUGGAUUGUUCUGUCUUCCAUCUUCGUUGCCGAAGCAAGAGGAGCCUCCUGCUAAUGCUUGCACUAACUGGAUCCCCAAAGGCAAAGAGACUGUGCCGGGUGAGAGUGAUUCACAGCCAUCUAGUGAAAAACCUCCCAAGAGCAACAAUGAUGAACAAGUACCUCCUCUUCUGCCACCUCCUCCACCAGGCAAUGUUCCUCCUUACCCUCCCUAUUUUGAGGGAGCUCCUUUUCCUCCUCCCUUAUGGUUAAGACAUACAUAUAAUCAAUGGGUUCCUCAACCACCUCCAAGGACUAUAAAGAGGACAAAAAGACGGUUGUCACGAAAUAGAGACCCGGGAAGGCUCAUUAUGAGCACUAUAAGACUGAGGCCAAGGCAAGUGCUCUGUGAAAAAUGUAAAAACACUCUGAACCCAGAGGAAGCUAACACAGCCAGGCAAAAUGCUAAAACGAGGAGGAAGCUAAGCAUUCAGGACAAGGAACAGAAAAAGCACAGUGAUUCGGAUUACGUAGAGAAAAGGAACAAAAGAGAAAAGAGGGAGGAAGACAAAUUUUCCGGUGAAUUGGUGCAUCGAACUCCAGUUAUAAAAAUAUCCUACAGCACGCCACAAGGUAAAGGUGAAGUUGUGAAAAUUCCCUCCCGGGUUCACGGCUCAGUUAAACCAUUUUGCCCCCAGCGAAUAUUGCAGAAUGGAGGGGAGGACCAAGAGGAGACCAGAGACUCUGAACGAUGUCAGGAAACCAAAUGUUUUAUGGAUAAGUCGGCGAGUGGCCAACUUGCUUCCAUUCCAAAACUGAAGUUAACUAGGCCUGUGCAUUCCAAUGCAGAUGUUCCACCUCCAAAAAUCAGACUGAAACCCCACCGAAUAAACGAUGGUCAGAGCGUGUCAAUUUAUAAAGCAGAGCUUAUUGAUGAGAUCAGUCCUGCUGCAUUUUAUAAUGAGGAAUCUGCAGAUAGAAGUUUAGCUGAGAUGUCUUCAGGGAGUUCAGGUGAAGAUGAUGACUUUAAGAGAUUUCCCCAAGGUAAAGAUGGACGUGAUAACUUGGCUUUUCUUAUGAAUUAUCGUAAAAGGAAAGCAGAUUCUUCUAGUUUAUCAGUGUGUAGUAAUGACAGUCUAGACGAAUCCAAAUCUUCUAGUUCAGAAGUAACAUCACCAGAAAUGUGUGACUUUUUACCUGGUGAUGAUGCAUCUGUCUCUUCAUCUUCAAAAGAUGAGCGUAAAAUUGUGCCGCCCUUAACAGUUAGACUACAUACACAAAGUGUCUCUAAAUGCGUCACUGAAGAUGGAAGAACUGUUUCAGUGGGGGAUAUUGUUUGGGGUAAAAUUCAUGGUUUUCCAUGGUGGCCAGCUCGCGUUCUUGACAUAAACCUUAGCCAAAAGGAAAAUGGAGAACCUUCCUGGCGAGAAGCUAAAGUAUCAUGGUUUGGUUCUCCAACGACUUCAUUCUUAUCUGUUUCAAAACUCUCUCCUUUCUCUGAAUAUUUCAAACUGAGAUUUAAUCGUAAGAAGAAAGGGAUGUAUCGGAAAGCUAUUACAGAAGCUGCAAAGGCAGUAGAGCAUCUGACCCCAGAAAUAAGAGAUCUCUUAACACAAUUUGAAACAUAACUUUGCUUCCAGUACCAGAUGCAUCUGAUACUGCAAGGAUUAGGUUCAGAGAAAACUAGAGAAAUAGCAGCUUUCUGCAGCACUUGCAUUUGCCUCUUGCUAUGCAGAUCUGUUAGUUCAGCUGCAGAUGCUGCUCAUUUGUUAGAAAUAUAAAUGGCCUCCUCAUGUUGGGAAGUUGUAUGAAUGUGCACUGCAGCUUUAGGAGGUGACCCAAGAAGGAAGAGGGAAGCAGAUUGAGUGCCUCUUGCUGCUUUAUGAGAUCUCCAAAAACAAACCCCCCAAAACCUUGACACUUAACCUUGGAAAUAGCAUUACUUCCUCUUCUGAUUGGAGAAUGAGUGAAAGGCCCUGAAGCUGAGCAGUCUAACAGGGAAUUUUAGUCUCUGGUUAAAAAGUCAAAAUAAUGUAAAAGGGGAGCACUGAAUAAAGACUUAGGGGUGGGGGCUGGAGUUUCGUUAAAGCAAAGGUCUCUUUACAUUUUCCCCCCAGCCAAACGAGGGAAGACUAGGGUUAAUAUCAUUUUUUGUCCCUGCCUAAGUGUGCAUUUCUGUUUGUUCCUUCUUUAUAGCCCUACCUAUGAGUGGCCUUUCAAAUGCUAAAUAAAGCAUGAAAAUUCACAAGCCUUUCCUCAGUCUUUUUUGCGGUCUCCUUCAGUAGAUCUCCAGUGUGUGUCUUAGGGAAAUAAUUUAAAGACAGAGUUCACUGCAAAAUACCAAAAAGCAUUUUCAGAUUCCUCUUGCAAGGAUAGCUGCUGUUCAGCACAGUCACCUUUUAAGAACAGAAGAGACUUUCUAACUGUCUGUGGAGGGAUAAAGAACAAAAGGCUCAAAACAAAACUGGGAAGUUGGUUACAGAGCAACCUUUUCCAAUAAAAAAUGCCAGAAGUUACUUCUGUAUCUGAUGGCUUCAGACUUUUAAUAACUUGUUACAAAAGCUGUCACUUGCCCCCACCCUACAUACUGGUUUUGCAGAAGCCUUUUUCAAGGGGUAGAUGCAUGAAGUAUUUUAGGUUUUGGAAGGAUUGCCAUGUGAUGCUUCACUAAUUUGAGUCAGCUGUUACUGCUACUAUUAACCUGCCAGUGGGUGAUGAACAGUUAAAAUUUGUAUCCGUGACCCAUUUUGUAGUCUGAAUCAGUGACCCUGAGUUGAGCCUUAAAGCUUAUUGUGGUAAAACUUCUACUAUCUUAGAACACUUGGGUGGUUUUUUUUGGUGUAUUUUUUUUUUUUUUUUAAAGAAACAUGCAAGUGUUUUCACUUUCUGUUUUUAAGUUCAUAUGUUAAAGCUGAAUGUUUAUUUUCAUCUUUGAAAUAUGCAGCAGCAUUCUGCCCUUCCUGAGGAAGUCUGGCCAUGAGCUAAGUUUAGGAUCUGUGCCCACUUACCCUUCCUCUGGGGCCAGAGGGUGAAUGGGGAGCAUUUGGUGAAGCUUGUUCUAGGAUGCUCUGGUAAAGCUUCAGGUCGUGAAUGUUACACAGUGCAGUGUGAAUGCUGACAACCUGGCUACACCUGGGUAGGGAUUGCCACGUGGCUUGGUAAGCAGGAACUGCUUCCUUCUAUACCUGAUUAUUUAUUUAUUUAUUUAUUUAUCUCUCUCUUUCUCUCUUAAAUGUCUUCGGCUGUGACAUGCAUAUAAUGGUAGGUUUAGGCUGAGCAGGUAUAAGGCCUUUAUGCUGCUUUCCUUCUUAGCAUAGUCAUCCUUCCCCAGAAUGUGAUUUAGCUCCCAAUACAUGAUGAUUUUUUACUAUGGUCUGCCUCCUGACUUCAGCAAUAACAAAGCGCUCAGUAUAUCACUCCAGUGGCUUGAAUGAGCUUGUUUUGACACAUUUGAGUCUCACUAGUGAAUAUGCUACCUACUGUCUUUUCUUAUAUGCACCAAUGCAGUGUAGAGUACCAGAUCAGAUUCUGUCCCCAUAGUUGACCAGUAGCUUAGUGUGCAGUUACAUUAGUUUCUUUUUAUUGCAUCUAAUGAGGACCCAGUCUCUCCAGCAUAAUCUUUUUGUCCUCAGUCAAUCCUUGUUUGUUGGGCAGGAGGGGGAGUAGGCACUUGGUUUGUAGGAAGAUUUCUGGACGUUUUUAUUAAGAGGUAUCUGUUCCUAGCUCAUAGGUGACAUUGACAAAUUACUGACUUUGCCAGUGUUGUAGCUGUAUGACUUGCUGCCUUAAGGUUGGAUCCUGUAACUGGAUCCACAUAAGUAGCCCAGAACACAGUCUAUGCAGAUGUGAUCACUGCACUGCUAAGCCUUAGCCCUGUAAGCAACUUGUGUAGGGUUCUAAUCUUCAGGUGUCAAUUGAACAGCCUCUAUAUGAAGUGGCGCAAUAGUGUUUCCAAUUGUUGUGAUAUUUGAUGUUUUGCUUAAAACUCCAUCUCCUAAACUCAAGUGAUUUGGAUAAGGAUCUAUCCUUUCUUUUAUUUUUAGAAAAUGUUGCAGAUUUUGUGACUUUUUCUCCCUUUGCCCAAGAAUAUGAAGAAGCCAAGAUUCCAAACUUUUUUUUUAAUUCUUUGGGGUAGCAAUAAUUAGCCCAUUUUGGAAAAUCAUGCUGUCUACCAUGGUAUUAAAUAUAGGCCAUGUACAGUUUCUCUGCUGAGAGGAGCCACACCACAGUCCUCCAGCAACCCAGGGUGCUUUGUUCCCAUCCACGUUCUCUCCUCCACACCCUCAUUCCCUCCAGGAACAUGUCACUUGCUGGACUCUGCUGUUCCAGAUAAGCAUGAGGCAGAACAUGAUCCCCUCACAGUCCCCGCAGUGAGCUUCAAAGGGAUGCAGGCUGUGUCUGAGCAGUCUUGGUCAGCCAAUCGUGGCUGCUCUGUGCAGUGCUACCAUUUAUCUGCAGGCAGACCAAGUACAUCUGCAGAGCAUGUGUGUGCACAAGGCAUUCUCCCGCUCCCUACCCAAGGUGUGUAGCAUCAACACUUCAGGCUUUCCACUCUUCAGGGGCUCUGCAUUGAAAUGUCUGUUCAGGCAUUUCUGUGUAUGACUUUUCUCCAGCAGGAGAACAAAUCCAAGAGAAUUUGCCCAUACUAUUUGAACGUGUGUGUGCAGCCUGUAGGUACAUUACUGCUAUUUGGUUCCUUGGUCAGAGGCUGAAAAACCUUUCCUUUCUGCUCUGUUUGCAUACAGUCAUGUCACUUGUGAGUUAGCAUUUGGAAUCCAUUCCUGAUUAAUUAAAUGAAGAAUGGUGAGCAACAGUCUCCUAAAACAGGAUGCUUGGCACUGACUUUCCUGGCUGGUCCCAGUUUGAGAUGGCUUAAGGGUAUGAAUUCCAGAAAGUGCUGACCUACUUGUGCUCUAAAGGAUGUCUUUGAGUGCUCAACUUGUGGCCCCUUAAACUUGCUAGUCACUGAAAAACCAUGAGCAUUUCAGGCCAAGAUAUACAUAUGUUUUACUUCUGUAUUUUCAUUUAGCUAUGAAAGCUAAUAUUUCUCUUUUGUGAAUUAGUGUGAGGAAUAAUAGUUUUCCUCUUAAGGCAUCAAUAUAACAUGGCAUAGUAAAAUGACUUCUGAGAAUAAUUCCUGACCAGUUUCUCUAUUUGUCUUUUUUUCUUCUUAUAGGAGAAGAUUUGUCCUAAGCAAGUUUUUUUAACACAGUCUACUAUAGCAAAGCAUUUACAAGCAAAACAAAUAGUAGACAAAAGUAGCAUAACUAAGCUGGAGAGAGACAGAGGGGGUGAGAGAGGGAACUUCCUUGUGGUGACCUAAAAUCAGCAUCCCAAAUAUAAAAGGCUUGGUGAGCAGUGGUGUAACCUAGACCAGGGCAACCACCCCAUGUGGUUGUUUGUGGGGGGGGAAGAGAGGAGCCUGAAACAAGUGGCAGUUGUGAUUGAGGCAGCAACCAAAAGUUGCUGCUGUCCUUGUUCCCCAGGUGCCUGGCUGUAUCCCUACACCGCUGCUGGUGAGGUACAACAUAGAAUUAAUUUUGCAACAGAAGUCUUGUAAGCGUGGCCCCUUUGUGUUUUGUUCACACAUACCUGCCUCCUCCUGCCCACUGCCAUAUUCCAAAUGUAUUCAAGCUGAGGUACAGCUUUUGUGAUGGAUCUAGUGCUCGACCAACAUGAUCUCCCAUUGUCUAAUCUUCGCUGAGGAAUAAUGUUUCUAGCUUCUACUGCCUGAGAAAUCUUUUAUGAGUGACAGUGUCCGUCAUGGCAGUAAAAACAGUGUACCUUGGAGUCAAUAGGGGCUUGCCUACUGCUUCUUGGAACAGGAUGUUAUCCUGGCUCCCCAUGGUAAUCCAACCUUUGUAGGUAGUGUAUAACUAGGGGUUUUUGUUUUGUUUUGGGUUUUUUGAUUGUUGGUUGUUUUGUGUUUUGUUUUUUACCCAAGUUUCAUACUAGACCUCAGCCCUCAAACACAGCUGAGAGCCUGGUGAAGAUGCUGAAUGUUAUCCUAGACAUAAUGAUUGCAUGUUGUGUGUGUAUGUAUGUAUGUAUGUAUAAAUGCAUCUAUUGCAUCCUUCUCAGUGUUCACCUCCAAGCUAAUGUGCAUCUGCCUGCUCACAUAUCAGAUCCCUGAACAGGUUGCAGGGCUUGCUGAUUGAUUGUAAAUGUAGCAGUAUUGCAUGUGUGUAGUACCUAUUAAUCCCAGUAGUAUUUAAACUAGAAAUUUUUGAUUUUUGUCCAACAUUGUUAGGCUCAGAUUUACACACCUUUCCAGCAAUAUAAAUAUCAAAUCUAAUGAGGAUUAUAGGGACCACUGGUAACAACACAGCUAGGCUCAACAUAAUCAAGGCAUGAGAUUGUUACAUGAAACAUCUAGUUACGUGAAACUCUUCUGCAGGUAUGCACCGAAGCACAAAGUCAAGUGGCUUACUUACCUGGGCUGUCACAAGUGAGGCUGCUGAGAUCUUAGGUUUCCUGACAAGGACUGCAAACUGGGGAAGGGGGAGAGUUUAGCCAAGAAAGGAAAAAAAAAAAGGGGGGGGGAUUGUGAUUGACCUGAACCAAUUUGUUGUUUUUGGUUUGUUUGUUUUUUUUUUAAAAAAAGAAAGCUUCACAUGAAGGUGUUUUAAUAAAAUCAAGGGCUAGAGUCGCAAGGCACACUUGGGCCCUAGGAUUCUCACAAAAUGGAAGAGAUGGCUGUGAUUGCCCCAUCUGUGCUUCAUUUGGAGUAGUCUUGAACUUGACUCCCACCUCUGUAUCCUAACUACCAGGCCCUAAUAUGUGAGGAAGACAUCAUUGCACAAGUCCACUCAUGAAAUUAACCUUAAAAAGAAUGUCUCAAACUGUUCUGCUUAGCUGAAACCAUUUGCCAAAUUGAUCCUGAACGUGCAGAUAGUUUUAAUGAACCCGGGUCUGUAUGUUUUCAUGAAUAAGCUACUGAAAUGAAUUGUUCAGGCCCUAGUUUUGACUUCCAGUACAGUGCCCUAGCUGCUAAUCAUGCUGCUGUCCUGAAUCAGGUGAUGUAUCAUGUAUGUAUUUAUAGUUGUGUAAACCUUCAGGGACUGGGCAGUGUCCUGAAUAUCAGGUUAUUCAAACUAGCUUCAUUUUGAGGGAGUGCUAGACAGCUGAAGCAUCAAUGUAACUAGGUGAACUAUUUUGCUUUAUUUGUAUGAUAAAUCUUCUUGCACUAGUAGCAUAGGUUGCAUUUUCAAAACUGGUGAGUCUACUUUGAGGCAUGCUUAAAGUAGGUAUUUUUGCUCUUUGAAGAAAGUUCCUAAUUCAUUUUUGAGCCAUGCACUCCUGUAUUCAAGGUAAUUGCAUCUGCCACUAAGUAAUGGCACCAAAACUGUAGCUGAAUCUGAGCAGAAGCUAUAGGGUUUCACCACUUAGGGACAGAGAGUUCAUCAAAACUAUUGUAAAAGCCAGUUUGCAGUUUGGCCAGUAGUAUCAAAUUUCAGCUACAAGAAAAAAAUCUCUGAUCUUCAUCUUGGAACAAUUUCUUCAAGCAACACCCUUGAACAGGCUGAAUUCUAAAAAGAGAACAGGGGAGGGGGCACAAUGUUUGCAGUCUUAUGUUGAAAGUAUCUCACAGUACAGUGUUUUGGUGUGUUGAACAUGGUGGCUUUUUAAAUAGUAAUUUUUCAACAGUUCAAAACACCAGAAACCCCUGUUUGGUUUGUAUGUGCUUAAUAUUCCCUAUUAUAUCAUGAAAUAAAUGGUGCUCAGUGAUAACUUCAGUUUGGAAAAUGGCUUCAGUUUAGCUUUGUUGUUUCCUUUUAAAUAAACAAGUUUGCAAACAAAAUAAAUGCAAAUUAUGUUAGUUAUUCAUACUUGGUACAGCUGGGUGGGAUCAUCUGAAGCACCUAAGUUACUGACUUUGGUGCUUUUGAAAGUCCUACUUGCUGUUGCAUUUAACCUCUUUUUCUCUUUUCAAACUGUGAGUUUGCAUUUUGCAAGACGUAUGCUGCAGGUAACUUCUGCACCCUUAUGGAGACAGACCACCUGCACCCUGCAGACAGAACCACCUGCAGGACAUUGCAACAAACUGGUAACAGAAGAUAAGAGCACAGCUGUUCUCCUAGAGUUUCCUGAAGUCUGUAAACAUCCUGACAUGCUCCCCAGGAGAAUCUUGUGGUUGCCAUAUACAUGACAGCAGGAUGAAUUUCCUUGUCAGAUUGCACUGCUUAUCAUCUAUGAAGGGUGACGGGCACCUGGACUGGAGUUAGGAGACUCUUCUGGUGUGAGGCUGACAGGAAAGUCUUAAGGAUAUCUUAACCUAAAGCAAGAGAAUUGACAAGUAAUACUGCAAUGAACUAGGGGAAUAGUAAAUACCACAAAUUGGAAUGUAUUUAUUACUUAAAAUGUUAGCUACUCUUGAUAAAACAAACAAACAAACCCAAAAUUAUUGCUGCUGCUUAUUUUACUUACAGAUUUCACACACUUGUUAAUUUUAAAGCUAUGAAACUUUUACUCAAUACUGUACUCUGAGAAAUGUAAUUGGAGCAGGACACGCAAUAGAAUGAAAUCAGUGUAGUGUCUUAAGUACAAUGGACUCACUUUUGUGUCUAUUAAAACUUGGAAAAUGUGCAUCACACAACUGUGGCUGUCAUUGCAUACAUUAAAGCUUUUUGAAGUUGUUUAA